GGUUUUGAGCGAAGCCAACCCCAAAGCCCGCCUCCAUCUCUUUUUCUGUUUUAACUUAAAUUCCUCGUUGUUUAAAGUAUUGCACUGGUCUCCUCCCCCCACCCCUCUCCGGGCCAGAGGGCGAUAGUACCGCCUCCAUCUUCCGGUCCCGCCGGCUGCGCUCCGGGCGCUGCUUCGGAGGGAGACCGGCCACGCGCUCUGGGGCCGACCGGGCGGCGCCUUAGGAGCGUGGAGUCCGCGGGAACGAGCAGUCAUGGUUGAGAGGAUGCGGCUCAACGCUCGGCCCCGCUCCGGGCGGCCCUGCGGGCGCCGUCUACAGCCCGUCCCCGCCGCGCAGGGUCGCGUUCAUGGUCCCCGCAGUCCGCCCGCGACCCCCGGGGGUGGGUCGCCGCUACCCCCCCCGGGCGGAUCCCCGCUGCCCCCCGGGGUGGACCUGGUCGAACCCAGCCGCGCAGAGGACAGGACGUCCUGCAUGUUUCCUGAAACAGUGACGCCCGCGGCCGGCAGCCGGGAGGCGGCGUGGGAAGAGCCUGUGUGUCUCCAUGGCCAUCCCGCCCCUCCCAGCGCUGCUUCCCUCUCCCUGCACUGUCCCCGCUUAGCUCUGACUGCCGCCCGGUCACUGUAUGUUUCCGAUUUCAGGUGGAGGUGUACUUUAAGGUUAGUGAUAAGCUACAACAGGUGCUAUAUAAUAAUCUUAAAUUACGGAAUGAAACAUUUCCUUUUACUAAAUGUGGCUUUUGAAAAGUGCUUGAAUUAGAAUAAGCAAGAAAAAAAUGGUCACUUAGAUAACAAUUUCUAAACGCCAUGUAAUGUAUACAGGGUGGGGCAAAAGUAGUUUCCAGUUGCUUAUAUGGCAAAUAAUACAAUCAUUAAGAAUACAUGUAUACAAGAAUAAACUUUCAAGUAGGCCUUUGCCCCACCCUAUAUACAUGCUGGAAUAAUAAAAAUUUAACUACAGUAUUAUGUGAAAGUCAUAUUGCCCACUUUGCUGCCAUGCCAAAAGAAACGGCAUAGAAACAUAGGCUAAACAAAAUUUUUUAAUUUGGGAUUUUGCUUCAGGUUUUGCUCUUCUUUUUCAGGGAAAAUUGCUGAGACUUUGGAGGGGUGAAAGAAUGAGGAAACCCUUUAACUUCAGAUGCAAUUUAAGAUGGAAAAUAUGGUCUUUUCUUCCAUGAAUUCUUAGGCAGGGGGGAGAUCAGAUUCAGGGAGUUCCAUUCCUGCUGAGGCAGGAUCCCUGAGGCCGCUUCCUCUGUGUUAGGAACUCUGGGCCAUGAGGACCCGGAGGCCACUGAGCAGUGCCCGCCACUCCCUCCCUCCCAGGCCGGCCCUUCUUCUCCAGCCCCGGCUGCCAGAAGAGAAGAGUUAGCAACCAGCCAGCUUCAAGUCCCGAGUCAGACACAAGAAACCUCCCCUCCCGGGGCAAGGAUGACAUGGAGGAGAGCACAUCAGCGCUCCCUGUAGCAGGCCGUCUUCCUCUGGGCGCAGUGACCCAGUAACUUCAGUUCCCGGUGAGCGGUCGCAUUCCUGUCUAUAGAACCCGUGCUCGGACAGGUCAGUUCCCGGGUCAGCGGGGACUCGCAUCCCUUCGCGCGCUGGCCGGCUGGGAACCCAGGGAGGUGCUGAGGGCUCCGGGCUUUAGUUCCUUAUCAGCUCCAUCAACCUGUUUAACUGAGGACUCAUGACUGUCUCUGUGGCAGCAAGUGUGAUGGGCCGAACAGCAGGUGCAGGACACC